UACAGAGGUCCCAAGCGUUGUUCGGAUUCAUUGGGCGUAAAGGGUGUGUAGGUGGCGCCGUAAGUCAGACGUGAAAUCCCUCGGCUUAACCGGGGAACUGCGUCUGAUACUGGUUGGCUUGAAUCCGGGAGAGGGAUGUGGAAUUCCAGGUGUAGCGGUGAAAUGCGUAGAUAUCUGGAGGAACACCGGUGGCGAAGGCGGCAUCCUGGACCGGUAUUGACGCUGAGGAGCGAAAGCCAGGGGAGCAAACGGG
rnacentral:rRNA from 1 species